rnacentral:rRNA from 1 species
AACGAACGCUGGCGGCGUGCCUAACACAUGCAAGUCGAACGGAGGCGAGGGGCUUGCUCCUUGCUUUAGUGGCGCACGGGUGAGUAACGCGUGGAUAAUCUGCCCGAUGCUCAGGGAUAACAUUUCGAAAGGGGUGCUAAUACCUGAUAAGCCCACGGACUCUUCGGAGUUUGCGGGAAAAGGGGGGGACCUUCGGGCCUCCCGACAUCGGAUGAGUCCGCGUCCCAUUAGCUAGUUGGUGGGGUAAAGGCCUACCAAGGCGACGAUGGGUAGCUGGUCUGAGAGGAUGAUCAGCCACACUGGAACUGAGACACGGUCCAGACUCCUACGGGAGGCAGCAGUGGGGAAUUUUGCGCAAUGGGGGAAACCCUGACGCAGCAACGCCGCGUGAGUGAUGAAGGCCUUUGGGUCGUAAAGCUCGGUCAGAGGGAAAGAAAUGUGUGGGGUUAAUAGCCUUUACACUUGACGGUACCCUCAAAGGAAGCACCGGCUAACUCCGUGCCAGCAGCCGCAGUAAAAC